CCUACGGGUGGCAGCAGUGGGGAAUUUUGGACAAUGGGCGAAAGCCUGAUCCAGCAAUGCCGCGUGAGUGAAGAAGGCCUUCGGGUUGUAAAGCUCUUUUGUUUGGGAAGAAAUCCCUAAGGAUAAUACCCUUUGGGGAUGACGGUACCAAAAGAAUAAGCACCGGCUAACUACGUGCCAGCAGCCGCGGUAAUACGUAGGGUGCAAGCGUUAAUCGGAGCGUCUGCGCGUAGUUCUGUAAGAGACGUGUGAAAUCCCCGAGCUCAACUUGGGAACUGCACUUGUGACUGCAAGACUAGAGUGUGUCAGAGGGAGGUAGAAUUCCACGUGUAGCAGUGAAAUGCGUAGAUAUGUGGAGGAAUACCAGUGGCGAAGGCGGCCUCCUGGGAUAACACUGACGCUCAUGUACGAAAGCGUGGGGAGCAAACAGGAUUAGAUACCCGAGUAGUC
rnacentral:rRNA from 1 species